GGUUGGCUCCUCCACAGUCCUGCCAGAGCGGGGUUACCCACGGGGCACCUCCGCCUCCCCGACGGGGCGGGACGGCUGCGGCGGGAGGCUGGGUCCUAGGGGGCCCGGGGUGAGCAGACGGGCGGGCCCCCAGGGACAGCGGCAGCCGUGGCGAAUGGCACAACCCCCCCCCCCCCCCCCCCCCCCCCCAAAGGGGAGGAGGGGUUGGGGGGUGACCCCUGCCCCGGCCCCACGCCCGAGCUGUCCCAGCCCCGCCGCUCGGGCUUUGUCCCCGCCGGCCGCCCCGUCCCUCCUCCCGCCCUCCCCCGCCCUCCAGCCAGCCCCCCGCCGCCGGCUCUGCCUCAACUUUAGAGGCACCAGGGAGCGGGACACGGCACCGGCACCGGCACCGAGUAGGAGCAUCCAGCCUCCAUCCCGGGCCGAGCCUCCUCCCCAUUCUGUCAGCCUGGGAAGGAUGCGGCGACCCGGAGCCGGCGGCGACAGCUUGCAGCACCGUCCCUAUCGGGGCGAGCAGGAGAUAAAUCCCCACCUUGCUUGGAUCACCAUGGCCCAGCACUGCCCAGCACGAGGCACAGGGGUGAGGCGAAGCAGAUGGAGAGCAGAGGAGCAGCCAGGCUGGCACAGACAGAACCCUGGGGCCACUACUCACCCACAGCACCCUCACCCUGGCAGGGAAAGACUGGAGGAGCCCCUGGAUACCCUGGACUGGGCUUUCCUGCCCUUGGAAGCCACUAGGCUGGGCAGAGGCAGCUGCCAGCAUGAGUUUGAAGCAGCAAAGUCACAGGUGGCUGUUGGGCACAGGCUGGUUUGGUGCCAUCCCUCCAUGGCAUGGGCAGUGCCAGAGCAGCCAAGCAAGAGAAGUGGAUUCUGCCCCUCCAAAGGUGCCCAAGGAUCUCCUGGAUGGGGUGACAUGAGCAGACACCAGGAGGUGGCCAAGGAAGGCUGGAGAAGAGCCAAGGCUCAGGCUGAAGAGUGGGAAGGAUCCAUGCAAGUGCUGCUGCCAUCCCCAGGGUAAGGGCUUGCUCCUCCUUGCCUGUGUGAGCAGCCCCAAAGCUGAAGCCAGAAGUGCCUAUGAGGUCCCACCUGGGGUCCCCUCAUACCUUGAUGCCAGACAUGGUGCACUGACCAGGAGGUGACAUCUCAGGAAGCUGAAGGACACAGAUCUGCUGUCACCAAGCCCAAAACGUUGGGAGAAUGAAAUCUGCAGCUCUUGGAGAGGGGAGGUCCCAGAGCCCCAGCAUGGCUCCAGCAUCCCCAGCAUGGAUGACCCCAAAGCAUCCAAGUCCAGUCUGAGCCACAGCAGCAGCUUGCCCAGGGGCACAAUGCCCAGGGGGGGGUUGGAAGCUCUGCACAGAAGGAGACUCCACAACCUCUUUGGGCAGCCUGCUCCAGGCCUCCAGCACCCUCACACCAAGCUGGGUUCUCCUCCUGUUCAGGUGGCACCUCCUGGCUUCCAGCUUGUGCCCCUUGCCUCUUGUGCAACCUGGGCACCACUGAGCACAGUCUGGCCCCAGCCUCUUGUCCCUCACAGCUCCUUUAGCUCUUGCUGAGCAUUGCUCAGCUCCCCUCUGGGACUGCUCCCCCCCAGCCUCAACCCCAGGUCCCUCAGCCUUUAGUCACAGAAGUUCCUGCCCCUUCACUUUCCACCCCAUGCAUUAAAGCUGUUGCAAGCCCCCA